GCCUGCGUGGUGAAACGUUAACACACUCGGCUCGUAGUCGAGAGAUUCAGGUUCGAGUCCCGGUGGCG
rnacentral:tRNA from 1 species